AGGACGAACGCUGGCGGCGUGCUUAACACAUGCAAGUCGAGCGGUAAGGCCUUUCGGGGUACACGAGCGGCGAACGGGUGAGUAACACGUGGGUGAUCUGCCCUGCACUUCGGGAUAAGCCUGGGAAACUGGGUCUAAUACCGGAUAUGACCUCAGGUUGCAUGACUUGGGGUGGAAAGAUUUAUCGGUGCAGGAUGGGCCCGCGGCCUAUCAGCUUGUUGGUGGGGUAAUGGCCUACCAAGGCGACGACGGGUAGCCGACCUGAGAGGGUGACCGGCCACACUGGGACUGAGACACGGCCCAGACUCCUACGGGAGGCAGCAGUGGGGAAUAUUGCACAAUGGGCGAAAGCCUGAUGCAGCGACGCCGCGUGAGGAUGAAGGCCUUCGGGUUGUAAACCUCUUUCAGCAGGACGAAGCGCAAGUGACGGUACCUGCAGAAGAAGCACCGGCUAACUACGUGCCAGCAGCCGC
rnacentral:rRNA from 1 species